CGCAUCUGUGCAUGCAGCAUAUCAAUAAGCGGAGGAAAAGAAACUAACAAGGAUUCCCUUAGUAACGGCGAGUGAAGCGGGAAGAGCUCAAAUUUGAAAUCUUCAAGGUUUUACCUUGACGAAUUGUAGUUUAAAGAAGUGUUUUCUGUUGAAGUUUUGGUAAAAGUUCUUUGGAAUAGGACAUCAUAGAGGGUGAGAAUCCCGUAUUUGACCAUUAUUCUCAGCUGUGUGAUACACUUUCAAAGAGUCGGAUUGUUUGGGAAUGCAGUCCAAAAUGGGUGGUAAAUUUCAUCUAAAGCUAAAUAUUGACGAGAGACCGAUAGCGAACAAGUACCGUGAGGGAAAGAUGAAAAGAACUUUGAAAAGAGAGUUAAACAGUACGUGAAAUUGUCAAAAGGGAAGCGUUUGACACCAGUGUUGUUUUCUCGAAAAUCAAUUAAAAAGAGUUAGAUUUUGUUGUGUAUUGACCUUAACAGCUUGCAUUUCAAUUUUCUUGCUUUUUUUAAUGCACUUUUCGUUUAACAAGUCAACAUCAGUUUCUUUUGUUGUAAAAAGGUCAUUGGAAGGUGGCUUUCUUUUCGGAGAAAGUGUUUAUAGCCUUUGACUCCUGCAAUCGGAGAGACUGAGGUCUGCAGCGUAGAUCCUUCGGGGUUAGAUACAUUUGUGCUAAGUUAUAGCUUUUUAUAGACAACUUGUUGACUAUGAUUAGUCUUGUAGCUUACUCGCUUAUGCUAUUUUACCUACGCUUAGGAUGUUGACGCGCAGUGCUGGUGCUAAUGACUAGGCAUAUCAAUAAGCGGAGGAAAAGAGGGCUAUUACCUACGCUUAGGAUGUUGACGCGCGUGUGUGCGUG
rnacentral:rRNA from 1 species